rnacentral:rRNA from 1 species
UUAUUUGGUUGAUCCUGCCCGUAGUCAUACGCUCGUCUCAAAGAUUAAGCCAUGCAUGUGUAAGUAUAAAUAAUUUUACUUUGAAACUGCGAAUGGCUCAUUAUAUCAGUUAUAGUUUAUUAGAAAUACUUUACUACUUGGAUAACCGUAGUAAUUCUAGGGCUAAUACAUGACUAAAUCCUCAACUUCGGAAGAGGUGUGUUUAUUAGUAUGAAAACCAUAUAUCUUCGGAUAUAAUAGUGAGUAAUAAUAACCUUUCGUAUCGUAUGUCGUAAGAUAACGAUAGUUCUUUCAAGUUUCUGCCCUAUCAGCUUUCGAUGGUAGUAUAUGGGACUACCAUGGCAGUAACGGGUAACGAAGAAUUUGGGUUCGAUUUCGGAGAGGGAGCCUGAGAGAUGGCUACCACAUCCAAGGAAGGCAGCAGGCGCGUAAAUUACCCAAUCCUGACAUAGGGAGGUAGUGACAAUAAAUCACAAUGCGGAACUAUUUAGUUUUGCAAUUGGAUUGAGAACAAUGUACAAAUGUUAUCGAUAAACAAUUGGAGGGCAAGUCUGGUGCCAGCAGCCGCGGUAAUUCCAGCUCCAAUAGCGUAUAUAAACGUUGUUGCAU